CGAGGGUGGAGGGGCACUGAGAGAUGCAAGGUCGAGCAGUGCUCUCGCUCGCCCGACCGCCCGACCGCAGUCAUCGCUCGUCUCUGGUACCUGCCCCAGAACAAUAGGCAAGUGCGAUGAUUCUUCUGUGGUCCUGCCUCCUGGUGGCUGUCGUAGCAGAGCAGAGAAGAGUCCCAUGGAUUCGUCUCAGCUGUGUAUCAUUUUGAUAUCACAGUGUUUGAAUCCAGCUUUGCAGAAACUGCGGAAGCGGCCAGUUAACUGCUGAAGGCAGAUGUAAAGGCAUGUAUUCUAGGCACAGCGACACCUCAGCCUGGGAAUUCCUCUCUGCAUCGCCUCACCAGGCAGCUGCUACAGCAGUACCACAAGGAGGUCAGACCAGUUUACAACUGGGCUGAGGCCACCACUGUCUACCUGGACCUUUGCGUCCAUGCUGUAUUGGAUGUGGAUGUACAGAAUCAAAAAUUAAAGACAAGCAUGUGGUACCGAGAGGUUUGGAAUGAUGAGUUUCUGUCCUGGAACUCUAGUCUGUUCGAUGAUAUUCAAGAGAUCUCUCUCCCUCUCAGUGCCA
rnacentral:lncRNA from 1 species